GGCUGCGCAGCACGGUCCGCGAGGCGUUCUUCGGCGACGCCGCCCGGCCGCGCUACUCCGGGAUCGUGGCCUGGCGCGGCGUC
rnacentral:tRNA from 1 species